ACCAGUGCCUGCAGGUGCCUCAGGGAAGCAGAGCUCAGAGCCUAACCUGCCCUCUGCCACCCAUCCAGUCAGUCUCCGUCCAGCAGGUGCAGCUGGGAGGUCACCCUGGGCUUCUCCCCACCAGCGGGGAAGCAGAACCAUGCUGGGUCCCCUCGCCCUCCUGUGUGCCCUCCUGUUUCCAGGUGGCAUGGCAGCGAUCAGCCUGACUCAGCAGGCUGUGGCCGUGGGGCGUGUGGGCGGCUCGGCCACCCUGUCCUGCCAAGCCAGCGCCUAUGUCAGCUACAUCCACUGGUACCUCCACCAGGAGGGGACUGACCCCAAGAGGAUCCUCAUGCUGGACAUGUCAAGGUUAUAUGUGGAGAGGUAUGGGGGCUUGGAAGUGGACAAAAUCGAUGCCAAGAAAGGCAAGGAAAGCAACAGCUGUGAACUGUCAGUGAAGAAGCUGCAGAAGACCAACGAGGGCGUGUACUACUGUGCUGCCUGGGAUGAAUCAGGCUGGAUCAUGGUAUUUGCAGAAGGAACUAAGGUCAUAGUAACUCCCCCGGAUAGAAGCCUUGAUGCAGACACUUCCCCCAAGCCCACACUCUUUCUUCCUUCGAUGGCUGAAAUAAAAUUCGAUAGGACUGGAACGUAUCUUUGUCUUCUUGAGAAUUUCUUCCCUGAUGUUGUCAAGAUAGACUGGAAAGAAAAGAACAGCAAAAGAAUUCUGAUAUCCCAGCAGGGAAACACCAUGAAGACGAAGGACACAUACAUGAAAUACACCUGGUUGACGCGCACUAAAAAGUCAAUAAAUAAAGAACACAAAUGUAUCUUCACACAUGAGACUAAUAAAGGAGGGGUUGAUCAUGAGAUUGCUUUUCGCUCAAUGAAAAAAGAGCUCGCUGUCAUUGAUUCUAUAGAAGCUUCUCUGAAAGAUGAAAAUGAUCCCCUACAGCUGCAGCUUGCGAACACCUCUGCCUACUACACCUAUGUCAUCCUCCUCGUCAAGAGCAUGGUCUACACCAUCAUCAUCACCUACUGUCUGCUUGGGAGACCAGCACUCUGCCGCAAUGAGAAGAGUUGUAACACAUGGUGGCCCAAGGCUCCACUUUUCUUUACUGGCUAUUUUCGCUAAAGGUGUCUGCUGAGGCUCUAGCGGGGCUUUCUUUCUGGGUGUGGGUUAUUGCAGUUCACAUGUGUCUUUUUUCUAUGUGUCAUCACUGCAGAAUGGGUUUACAAACUGCUGGGCAAACAGGAAAUGUCACUCUGCACCAAGAACAGACUCUGCCAUGAGUCAGGGGCGGGGCCGGGGGGCACUCACGGGGCUUCAGUACCGCUCUCUCCUUCACGCCCACCAGCCCGUCAGCCACCCAGCACCCUCGCCUCUGAGUACAGCCGGCGUGCAGCUUCCAUCGCGGCCCCUGGGGCUCUGUAUCCAGAUAAUUGCCUGGAGGCCUUUUAUUUUACAUACAUGGAAGCUGCCAUCUUUGCUACCUGAGUUUUGUUCUGUUGUUCAUAACAGGCAUAAUAAAAAUAAUCAAAAGUGUA